rnacentral:misc_RNA from 1 species
UCAAACUUGGUCAUUUAGAGGAAGUAAAAGUCGUAACAAGGUCUCCGUUGGUGAACCAGCGGAGGGAUCAUUACAGAGUUGACCCUAACUCCCAAAACCCCCUGUGGACAUACCUAUUGUUGCCUCGGCAGGGCCGUCGUCCUGCCGAAGGCCCCUAUACCAAACACUUUUUUUGCUGAGAAGCAUUGGAAUUCUGAGAAAAACGAUUGAUAAACAAAAUCAGUUAAAACUUUCAACAACGGAUCUCUUGGUUCUGGCAUCGAUGAAGAACGCAGC